rnacentral:rRNA from 1 species
AUUGAACGCUGGCGGCAUGCUUUACACAUGCAAGUCGAACGGUAACAGGCCUUCGGGUGCUGACGAGUGGCGAACGGGUGAGUAAUGCAUCGGAACGUACCCAGAGGUGGGGGAUAACGCAGCGAAAGCUGUGCUAAUACCGCAUGUGAUCUGAGGAUGAAAGCGGGGGACCGAGCAGCAAUGUUUGGCCUCGCGCCUUUGGAGCGGCCGAUGUCGGAUUAGCUAGUUGGUGGGGUAAAGGCCUACCUAGGCGACGAUCCGUAGCUGGUCUGAGAGGACGACCAGCCACACUGGGACUGAGACACGGCCCAGACUCCUACGGGAAGCAGCAGUGGGGAAUUUUGGACGAAGGGCGAAAGCCUGAUCCAGCAAUGCCGCGUGAGGGAAGAAGGCCUUCGGGUUGUAAACCGCUUUUGGCAGGAGCGAAACGGUGUCCGCUAAUACCGGGCGCUAAUGACGGUACCUGCAGAAUAAGCACCGGCUAACUACGUG